rnacentral:rRNA from 1 species
GAUGAACGCUGGCGGCGUGCCUAAUACAUGCAAGUCGAGCGAACGGACGAGGAGCUUGCUCCUCUGACGUUAGCGGCGGACGGGUGAGUAACACGUGGAUAACCUACCUAUAAGACUGGGAUAACUUCGGGAAACCGGAGCUAAUACCGGAUAAUAUAUUGAACCGCAUGGUUCAAUAGUGAAAGACGGUUUUGCUGUCACUUAUAGAUGGAUCCGCGCCGCAUUAGCUAGUUGGUAAGGUAACGGCUUACCAAGGCAACGAUGCGUAGCCGACCUGAGAGGGUGAUCGGCCACACUGGAACUGAGACACGGUCCAGACUCCUACGGGAGGCAGCAGUAGGGAAUCUUCCGCAAUGGGCGAAAGCCUGACGGAGCAACGCCGCGUGAGUGAUGAAGGUCUUCGGAUCGUAAAACUCUGUUAUUAGGGAAGAACAAAUGUGUAAGUAACUAUGCACGUCUUGACGGUACCUAAUUAGAAAGCCACGGCUAACUACGUG